rnacentral:rRNA from 1 species
UUACCGAGUGAGGGCCCUCUGGGUCCAACCUCCCACCCAUGUUUAUUGUACCUUGUUGCUUCGGCGGGCCCGCCUCACGGCCGCCGGGGGGCUUCUGCCCUCUGGCCCGCGCCCGCCGAAGACACCAUUGAACACUGUCUGAAGAUUGCAGUCUGAGCAAUUAGCUAAAUAAGUUAAAACUUUCAACAACGGAUCUCUUGGUUCCGGCAUCGAUGAAGAACGCAGCGAAAUGCGAUACGUAAUGUGAAUUGCAGAAUUCAGUGAAUCAUCGAGUCUUUGAACGCACAUUGCGCCCCUUGGUAUUCCGGGGGGCAUGCCUGUCCGAGCGUCAUUGCUGCCCUCAAGCACGGCUUGUGUGUUGGGCCCCGUCCUCCUUCCCGGGGGACGGGCCCGAAAGGCAGCGGCGGCACCGCGUCCGGUCCUCGAGCGUAUGGGGCUUUGUCACCCGCUCUUGUAGGCCCGGCCGGCGCUUGCCGACAACCAUCAAUCUUUUUUCAGGUUGACCUCGGAUCAGGUAGGGAUACCCGCUGAACUUAAGCAUAUCAAUAAGCGGAGGAAAAGAAACCAACAGGGAUUGCCUCAGUAACGGCGAGUGAAGCGGCAAGAGCUCAAAUUUGAAAGCUGGCCCCCUCGGGGUCCGCAUUGUAAUUUGCAGAGGAUGCUUUCGGGAGUGGCCCCCAUCUAAGUGCUCUGGAACGGGCCGUCAUAGAGGGUGAGAAUCCCGUA